rnacentral:rRNA from 1 species
UCCUGCUAAUACCGCAUAGCCAUGAGCACCGCAUGGAGCUCAUGCCAAAUAUCCUUUCGGGGAUAGCGCAGGGAUGGACCUAUGGCGCAUUAGCUUGUUGGCGGGGCAACGGCCCACCAAGGCAACGAUGCGUAGCCGGCCUGAGAGGGCGGACGGCCACAUUGGGACUGAGACACGGCCCAGACUCCUACGGGAGGCAGCAGUAGGGAAUUUUCGGCAAUGGGGGAAACCCUGACCGAGCAACGCCGCGUGAGCGAAGAAGGCCUUCGGGUCGUAAAGCUCUGUUGUAAAGGAAGAACGGCGCAUACAGGAAAUGGUAUGCGAGUGACGGUACUUUACCAGAAAGCCACGGCUAACUACGUGCCAGCAGCCGCGGUAAUACGUAGGUGGCGAGCGUUAUCCGGAAUCAUUGGGCGUAAAGAGGGAGCAGGCGGCCGCAAGGGUCUGUGGUGAAAGACCGAAGCUAAACUUCGGUAAGCCAUGGAAACCGGGCGGCUAGAGUGCGGAAGAGGAUCGUGGAAUUCCAUGUGUAGCGGUGAAAUGCGUAGAUAUAUGGAGGAACACCAGUGGCGAAGGCGACGGUCUGGGCCGCAACUGACGCUCAUUCCCGAAAGCGUGGGGAGCAAAUAGGAUUAGAUACCCUAGUAGUCCACGCCGUAA